rnacentral:rRNA from 1 species
UACGUAGGGACCAAGCGUUGUUCGGAUUUACUGGGCGUAAAGGGCGCGUAGGCGGCGUGACAAGUCACUUGUGAAAUCUCUGGGCUUAACCCAGAACGGCCAAGUGAAACUGUUGUGCUAGAGUGCAGAAGGGGCAAUCGGAAUUCUCGGUGUAGCGGUGAAAUGCGUAGAUAUCGAGAGGAACACCAGAGGUGAAGACGGGUUGAUGGGCUGACACUGACGCUGAGGCGCGAAAGCCAGGGGAGCAAACGGG